rnacentral:rRNA from 1 species
UACGUAGGCAGCGAGCGUUGUUCGGAGUUACUGGGCGUAAAGGGUGUGUAGGCGGUUGUUUAAGUUUGGUGUGAAAUCUCCCGGCUCAACUGGGAGGGUGCGCCGAAUACUGAAUGACUUCGAGUGCGGGAGAGGAGAGUGGAAUUCCUGGUGUAGCGGUGAGAUGCGUAGAUAUCAGGAGGAACACCGGUGGUGUAGACGGCUCUCUGGAACGCAACUGACGCUGAGACGCGAAAGCGUGGGGAGCAAACAGG